CCUACGGGAUGCAGCAGUGAGGAAUAUUGGUCAAUGGACGAGAGUCUGAACCAGCCAAGUAGCGUGAAGGAUGACUGCCCUAUGGGUUGUAAACUUCUUUUAUAUGGGAAUAAAAUGUUCCACGUGUGGGAUUUUGUAUGUACCAUAUAAAUAAGGAUCGGCUAACUCCGUGCCAGCAGCCGCGGUAAUACGGAGGAUCCGAGCGUUAUCCGGAUUUAUUGGGUUUAAAGGGAGCGUAGGUGGAUUGUUAAGUCAGUUGUGAAAGUUUGCGGCUCAACCGUAAAAUUGCAGUUGAAACUGGCAGUCUUGAGUACAGUAGAGGUGGGCGGAAUUCGUGGUGUAGCGGUGAAAUGCUUAGAUAUCACGAAGAACUCCGAUUGCGAAGGCAGUUCACUGGACUGCAACUGACACUGAGGCUCGAAAGUGUGGGUAUCAAACAGGAUUAGAUACCCCGGUAGUC
rnacentral:rRNA from 1 species